GCGGAGGUACGCUGAGUGGAGCUCGGGGCUGCGUAGGGGAGCUGAGCCGAGCGGCUGGGCGGGCCUGGCCGGGCCGGCGGAGGGGAGACGUCGGUUGAGCGGCGGCGAACAUGCGCUUUUGACACAUUGGAGAAGACCACGUGGCCUUAAACCAACUGCUGCAACUCUGUGUGCAGGAUGAUUCUGUGGGCCCAAGUCACCCAGCGCCUAUGCUGCAACCAAAAGUGCCUCCUGUCGCUUUGUAUCAAAGGACCUUUGUCAUGAUCUCAUUCACAAUAUUGGUGGUCCCUGAGAGUGGAGCAGUGGAGUGAUUGACGUGCCUGAGUUUGAAGAGAGUUAACCACUGGAAUCUCUCAUGUUUUAUUCCCUCCAAAAUGCUGCAGUUCAGUGUUGUCCCAGAUUUUAUGCUUGUGCUUAGAUUUCUCUGUUCUCUAAUUUGUUAAGUUUGUCUUUAAUAUUUCACAGGCUUUCUUGAUCAUGGAUGGUGAAGAUAUACCAGAUUUUUCAAGUUUAAAGGAGGAAACUGCUUAUUGGAAGGAACUUUCCUUGAAGUAUAAGCAAAGCUUCCAGGAAGCUC
rnacentral:lncRNA from 1 species